UACGUAGGGUGCGAGCGUUGUUCGGAUUCAUUGGGCGUAAAGGGUGCGUAGGCGGCUUCCUAAGUUUGAUGUGAAAUCCCGGGGCUCAACCCUGGAAUUGCAUUGAAUACUGGGAGGCUAGAGUACUGGAGAGGAAACUGGAAUUUACGGUGUAGCAGUGAAAUGCGUAGAGAUCGUAAGGAAGACCAGUGGCGAAGGCGGCCCCCUGGGCCGUACCUGACGCUGAGGCGCGAAGGCUAGGGGAGCGAACGGG
rnacentral:rRNA from 1 species